GGGCUUGUGGUCUAGUGGCUAUGAUGUUGCCUUUACACGGCGAAGAUCGUCGGUUCGAUUCCGGCCAAGCCCA
rnacentral:tRNA from 1 species